rnacentral:rRNA from 1 species
GGAAUUGCUAGUAAUCGCGGAUCAGCAUGCCGCGGUGAAUACGUUCCCGGGCCUUGUACACACCGCCCGUCACACCAUGGGAGCCGGUAAUACCCGAAGUCAGUAGUCCAACCACGUGAGGACGCUGCCGAAGGUAGGAUUGGCGACUGGGGUGAAGUCGUAACAAGGUAUC